AGCCCCUGGCAAUGGGCGAAGAGACACCUUGUUGGUGGUGGUGUUCUUAUAUCAGUCAAGGGCAGAGCAGAUGGCAGUCCUGUGUUCAUCCUAGCUUGAUGCCUGGCUUGGUGGUCAAAGCUGUCUCAUGCCCAGGACACAAAA